GUGCCAGCAGCCGCGGUAAUACGUAGGGUGCAAGCGUUAAUCGGAAUUACUGGGCGUAAAGCGUGCGCAGGCGGUUCGGAAAGAAAGAUGUGAAAUCCCAGGGUUCAACCUUGGAACUGCAUUUUUAACUCCCGAGCUAGAGUAUGUCAGAGGGGGGUAGAAUUCCACGUGUAGCAGUGAAAUGCGUAGAGAUGUGGAGGAAUACCGAUGGCGAAGGCAGCCCCCUGGGACAAUACUGACGCUCAGGUACGAAAGCGUGGGGAGCAAACAGGAUUAGAAACCCCCGUAGUCC
rnacentral:rRNA from 1 species